CACCUCAAAAGGACAGUACAGACUACAGAGAGCUCAAGUUUAUCUCUCCUUUCCUCACCAAGAGCUCCUUCCUCCCCACUACUAUUAAUGAACGCGACUCCUCAUUCUUCAUUCAUCACCAGCACGAACUCUUCUCCAACUUUUUUACUUUUGAUCACUUUAGUUGAUUUUGAUUACUUUAGUUGAUUUACAUCGCAACUUAGUUGAUUUACAUCGCAACUUUUUUUUGUCUGGCCAACUGAUUAUAACUAAUGUACUUGGAUCUGCUUUUAGUAAGUCCGCAAAGUUUUUGUUUUCCCAUUUACUUGAGAAUGAAUAGUCAAAAUUAUCAUAGACGAUUUAACCUUGUUUUGUUGAUUUUUCUUAUAAAUCCGUUUUUCAUAAACGAUUUUGUUUUUUUUUAUAGCAUAAUUAUGGGCACUCGUUCGGCUUGUGCUUCUUACGAUCAAGCUCCCAUCAUAAUUCUUUGGGACAUUGGAACUGUCAGUUUCAGAACGAUAUAAAAGAUCAUGGAUACAGUAAAGAGAUUUAACUCAAAUGAGGCUAUUUGGCUAUGUGUGCUGGUAUAUCUAUGGCCUUUAUAUCGUAUUCGAAAUUGACAAUUCUCGAUGUCCCAAAAAAUAUGAUGGGAGUCUAAAAAUAGGCGCAGCAUUUGAACAAAUCAAGAAGAGUCUCCAUGUGUUCCCAAUCGGUGGACGAGAAUAAUCCAAAUCAGGUGCAAGUCAUUGUUCAAGAUCUAUCAACCACAGAGGCCAAAGGAACAGAGAACUUUGACAGUAAGAAGGAAGGAGGCUUUGAAGAUUACUUUUUGAUGAUGAAACGCCUUUUUGAUCUCUUCAGAAGAUAUUUUUGGAGUGCUGCUAAUCUCUUUAAUACAUGGUUGUCCCAAAGGGAAAACUGUUUUAGUUUUUACAAUUAGUCGAGACUCCGGUUAUAGUUUUUUUUUCAUGACUAGAUGCUGAAAUAACGGUGUAGGGUCGUCAAGAGAUGUCUGGUUCUAUGUGUUCCAUGUUUGUUUCUUCAGCUAAUACAAUUGCUUUCUCUUCGGUGCAAA